rnacentral:rRNA from 1 species
GAUGAACGCUGGCGGCGUGCCUAAUACAUGCAAGUCGAGCGAAUGGAUUAAGAGCUUGCUCUUAUGAAGUUAGCGGCGGACGGGUGAGUAACACGUGGGUAACCUGCCCAUAAGACUGGGAUAACUCCGGGAAACCGGGGCUAAUACCGGAUAACAUUUUUAACCGCAUGGUUCGAAAUUGAAAGGCGGCUUCGGCUGUCACUUAUGGAUGGACCCGCGUCGCAUUAGCUAGAUGGUGAGGUAACGGCUCACCAAGGCAACGAUGCGUAGCCUACCUGAGAGGGUGAUCGGACACACUGGGACUGAGACACGGCCCAGACUCCUACGGGAGGCAGCAGUAGGGAAUCUUCCGCAAUGGACGAAAGUCUGACGGAGCAACGCCGCGUGAGUGAUGAAGGCUUUCGGGUCGUAAAACUCUGUUGUUAGGGAAGAACAAGUGCUAGUUGAAUAAGCUGGCACCUUGACGGUACCUAACCAGAAAGCCACGGCUAACUACGUGCCAGCCGCCGCAGUAA